rnacentral:rRNA from 3 species
GAAGGGGGCUAGCGUUGCUCGGAAUUACUGGGCGUAAAGGGAGCGUAGGCGGACUGUUAAGUUAGAGGUGAAAGCCCAGGGCUCAACCUUGGAAUUGCCUUUGAUACUGGCAGUCUUGAGUACGGAAGAGGUAUGUGGAACUCCGAGUGUAGAGGUGAAAUUCGUAGAUAUUCGGAAGAACACCAGUGGCGAAGGCGACAUACUGGUCCGUUACUGACGCUGAGGCUCGAAAGCGUGGGGAGCAAACAGGAUUAGAUACCCUGGUAGUCCACGCCGUAAACGAUGAGUGCUAGUUGUCGGCAUGCAUGCAUGUCGGUGACGCAGCUAACGCAUUAAGCACUCCGCCUGGGGAGUACGGUCGCAAGAUUA